UACGUAGGGGGCAAGCGUUAUCCGGAUUUACUGGGUGUAAAGGGCGUGUAGGCGGGGCCGCAAGUCAGACGUGAAAUUCCAGGGCUCAACCCUGGAACUGCGUUUGAAACUGUGGCUCUUGAGUGAUGGAGAGGCAGGCGGAAUUCCGUGUGUAGCGGUGAAAUGCGUAGAUAUACGGAGGAACACCAGUGGCGAAGGCGGCCUGCUGGACAUUAACUGACGCUGAGGCGCGAAAGCGUGGGGAGCAA
rnacentral:rRNA from 1 species